AAUAUUGCGCAAUGGGGGGAACCCUGACGCAGCAACGCCGCGUGAGCGAAGAAGGCCUUCGGGUCGUAAAGCUCUGUCAUCGGGGAAGAAAAAAAUGACGGUACCCGAGGAGGAAGCCCCGGCUAACUACGUGCCAGCAGCCGCGGUAAUACGUAGGGGGCAAGCGUUGUCCGGAAUUACUGGGCGUAAAGGGCACGCAGGCGGUUAGUUAAGUCUGAUGUGAAAUCUGUGGCUUAACCACAAGCGGUCAUUGGAAACUGGAUAACUUGAGUACAGAAGAGGAGAGUGGAAUUCUACGUGUAGCGGUGAAAUGCGUAGAGAUGUGGAGGAACACCAGUGGCGAAGGCGGCUCUCUGGUCUGUAACUGACGCUGAGGUGCGAAAGCGUGGGUAGCGAACA
rnacentral:rRNA from 1 species